GACUAAUCUGCAAAGACUGAAUCAAUUCAAGCUCAGGCUUUUUGAAUGUCUGUCCCUAGCCAAAUAAAACCAAGGAUGACACCAACUAUCUAUGUAUUAAAAACACCUAGAACACUACUGACAGUCAUUAUAUGCUGAUGGGAGUAACCAGUGGUGAUUGUGCAAGUAGCAGCUGUGUGAUAAGGGGACUAUUGAGGUUCAAGGACAGAAUUUUUAUUGAGACAGAUGCCUAUUGAAAUUAAAAAUAAGUUUUUAAUUUUCACCUUGCUUUGACCAUCUGCUCGGACCGCCACCCUAGACAUCACCCUUUGAUCGUGUGAUAAAUUUGCAUUUGACUUCCAAGAAAAGAUGAUGAAAUAACAGCCAUUUGAGUUGAAGAAGUCACGUUACUCGUGUAUUCAGCUGUGUAGGGACAUGGCCGGGUGCCCGGGUCAAAGCAGAAGCAGCAACUUCUGGUUGUUGCCCAGAUAGUGAUUGCAAAUGCACAGCUGCUGCUUUUUUAUUUUUUUUUUUGCCCCACCCCAAGUCAUUCCUGGGGAGGUUGCCACUACUGCCUCUUGCACUUAUGCCACUGAUUCACCUUUGUAACCUUGAUCACAGGCAGGUAACUGGGGCAGCCAAUACAGAUCAUUGUUGUACCACCUUGCUCUUAUUCCAGUGAGUCCUUUGAAACACAUUCUAAUCCCUUAGUCACACUGAGUGAUACUGUGCACCUCAAAUACUUGCAGGUUCAAUAUUCAAAGAGUAAGGUGAGCAAGGCUAGGAGGAUCUGGCCCUUUGCUUGUAUCUUGUAUUCUUUCUCCUCUUCUUCUCUUUAUAAUCUGUAGCUUGUACGUGCUAGGACAGCCUCCUGUCUCUCUUGCCCUCUUCACUCCACCUGCUGCCAUGCAGCUGUCCUCCCCCCAAUUCCAUACACAACCAAUCUCGCUUUUGGCCCUCUUGCAAUGCAUGCCUAAAAAACAUAGAAGAUAGCUCUCCAUGUUCUGUAUCUUAAUGGAAGCUGCAUGGCCAUUUUUGGAUGUGCCUAAGUUAAUUAGCCCAGUGCAGUGAUGAAGCUGCUCUGCUUCCUGUUCAGGAGAUAGCAUGCUUUGAGCAGCUUAGCAGUGGGAAUUUCUGAGUGAGGGUGGAGUACUGAGAGGGCAUCUACCUUUGUAAUCUACCCACCGCACCUUUUGUGGCCCCUGGUUGGAAAUCGUUGCUUUAGGGCACAGGGAGGCUCUUCCUGUAUAGUAAUACUGUACUUAAUCCUGAUCAGGGAUGAUGGACAUUAUUGCAACAAAUUAAUAAAACUAGUGACAGGAGGGUUAAUACAUUAAUCUGUAUUGGGAGUGAUUUUAGUAGCUUUCCAUGUAUCAGACCAGACAGGAUGCAGCCCUUUUUGUUAACAACUAGUAUUAGAAUCUGUUGUUUCAUGUCUAUUUUUUUCAAUGUGCACAUGCCUCUGUUUCUGUGUGAGCAGACACUUUGUUUCAGCUGCUCACCCAAUUGUACCUUGGAGGACAAGAGCGUGGUAGUCUGAAGAGCUGGAUCACUUCUUCCCAUCAGGCUGUCCUUGGAGGUAUCUAGGCCACUAAGAGAGCACACAUUCCAUUUCAACAGAUGCAGCUCACAUUUAUGCAGGGUACAAUUGAUAGGGUGACUCACUGCUGUGUUAAUGCAAGCUCCCUGCUUUUUUUUUAUUCUUCCCUUUUUUUGAAUUAUAACUUCAGUUCAUUCAAGUAAAAUAGAUUUUACUUACUGCCUUACUGUGCUAUUUUAGGGGCAGAAUAAGAGGACAAUACGCAUAGAUGGUAAUAGAAAGACAUGACUGCAGGCUUUGUAUUACAUGCUUAUUUGGGAGCAAUUAAAAACACAAUGUGUUAAAAGAGAAAGUAUACAGAAUAUAGGAGACUGUGUAUCAUCCUACAUGCCUGAAUAUUGAGCAGUAUAAUUAAGAUACAGUUCAUGCAGUCCAUAAGUAAGAACAAUAGAUAUAGGAAGAAAAUGGGCCCCAUCCUCAGCUGGCGUGCAUUAGUAUAGCUCCAUUUAAGUAAAUGGGACGAUGCUGAAUUAUAUCAACUGAGGAUCUAGCCUUAGCACAGCCCCUCCACCUGUCCUCAUCAUCUCCACCAUUCAUCAAACUGCUGUGUUCAUAAGCAUCGAUUCAUAGAAGUAAGCUACAGUACUCUCACUUACCUUGGCUUGUUUAGCAAAGGGACUUCAUACAAAAGUCACCUCAUGGUCCAGCUGCUGCAGAACUCCUAGGACUAAUGCUGACUACUGUGGCUUAAACAUACCCUUUACCAGAACCCCACCUAUCGGGAUGCUCUUGGUCUACAGUUUAACAUGAUUGGUAUCGUCUGUAACACACCCAGAGUUUACAUAGGAUUAAAAAAUAUACUUUUUAUAUUGAUCCUCUGGGAGAUGCACACAGAAAGAGAACUAAUAAACCUUACAAACAUUUCCCUCCCUUACUCUUCUCAUCACUCUGAAGCAUUCUUUGGGUUUUGCUCAGGAACUUCUGGGGGUGUCCAUGAUUCUUCCUCUGAAGCUUGCAAUCUUUCUUUAAAAUUAUGGACUCCUUCAUGUUCUUUUCCACAUUAGCCUGCUUCAACCUUGGCUGUUCCCACAUUUAAAUAGAACCUUGUCUCCCAGCUCCAGCAUUGUUCUUUCUUCCUGUCUCCUGUCCCCAAAAUUCCCAAGGUAUCCUAUGAGUCUUCCUCACCUUCUUGUCUUGCUUUCCUUAUUCACUUCUAGGAAUUUUCUACUCUCUGUAGAGAAGGGGGAAAAACUAGCUUCUCCUACUUCAGCCCAUUUUUUCUGUGUUUUCACCUGAAAGUGUGAUCAUUAUGGUCUGACAACCUACUUUCCCUGGUUUGACGGUGCCUUUGUUGGCAGUGGAUUCCACAUAUACUGCCACUUCAUAAUUAAAUAAUUCAAGAUAAUGACUUCAUAACUUCAGCUGUAUGUUAUGAAUGGUAUGCAAACAGGUUGACUGUGUCAUAAUAGUGGAAAUCUUAAUUAAACCUGGACCUACACUUCCUUUGAGGUAAUUUUCUUUAUCCUCUGGAUUGUCUAUAUGUUUAGACAUAAUAACUAAGAGUUCUGUGGGGAUUAAUCAGCUGAAAAUGACAGAGUAAAAGCUAAUCUGAACUUUCAUUUAGAACUUCAACAAACUGAAAUCAAAUUGUUCAUGCCUGGCUCAUGGGUACUUAAUUAGUCAUUAGCAUUUUCACAUACAAUUACAUUUUCUUGUUCUUGCUUAGACCAUAAAUGGGAUUCUCAAAAUAUCAUGAGACUGUUCUUACUGUAAAUUGUUUAGCCGGUAGGAAUUACUGUAAUUCUCAUUUUUAACUUCAUUUUUAAAUUGAGAGGUCUAAGAUAUAUGUCGAAAGCAAACUUUUUAAGGAAUUAAAUAUCAUGGAUGAAAUCCUGGUUCUUGAAGAGUGGCAAAGUUCCCAUUGACUUGAAUGGUGCCAGGUUUUCAUCCCACACAAGUUCAAGUCUCUGCAAACAAAGCAGAGACUUGAUUUUAACACCAAAUACAUUUUUUAAAAAGUGUUUCUGUGAUUAAGAGAUUAUAUACGUGAGAUAAGGCAAAAUAAGUCUGUCUAGGGCAUGACAUGUACAAGUUGAUUGAAAUUCAGUUACAGGAUUAGAAGAGAAAAAUAAUUGAAACCAAUAUUUAUUUCAGAAACUGAAAGGAUUUUCAACUCUUCACGUUCGUUAUAAAAAAAAGACAUUUACUAGAAUUCAUACUUCAUGCCAUUUGUUUUUGGCACAGUCUUUUUCCAGUUCUGAGAACAGAUACUAUUUAUUCAUCAUGAUAUACAAGCUGUUUUCCUCCCUUUGCUAGCUCCCCUUUACAAGUUAAGUUAUAUGCUCUGCAAAUAUUGUAUGUAUAGUUAGUUAAUUAUAGGAAUUAUCUAAGAGGAAUUAUCUGAGAGAGGGUGGCUACUCCAGCCCCAGCAUCACUGCUCAUUGCCAGUAUUUGAAUGAAAUAAACAGUGUAAAAUGGGCCAUUCUCUCCCACGUGCUUUGGUAUGCUAUAUAGUAUGGCAAAAUAAAAAUCUGGGGCGAGUAGCUUUGCUUAUGUGAAGACCUGGAGGAUAAUCAGGUGGCAAGUAACUGCUAAUAUAGAUUCGUCAAGAGUAGUAGGCAACCAUCCAUCGAUUGUUUAGAUCAUGGUAAGAGUAAGUCAUGGCUAACCAACCCAAUUUCCUUCAAUAAUAAGGGACCGGCUUUGUGGAUGGAGAGAGAGAAAUGGAUGUGAUAUACAUUGACUCCAGCAAGGCCCCCAUUGCAUUCCCAUAAGAAACCAGAAGUAAAUAUGGUCCAGAUGAAGCUAGGUAGGUGCAAGUUGCCUCUCCAUUCCUUGUCCUCAGCUGUCCCUCCAACUAAGCACUACAUGCCUGCUUGAAAAGGGACCACGUGAAAUACCUGGAACACCUUCACUAUCAAUACCUCUGGAAAAUCCUUGGCAUAAAGUGGGAGGAUUGUUGCACAAAUGCCAGUGUCCUCACCAAUGUUAACAAUUUUGGUAGAAAUGUUGAUUAUGGAAACGUUGAUUAUUCAACAUUUGCUGUGGUGGACAGAGUAUUGUGUGCGCAUACCUGAUGUACAUUUACCGAAACAGCAGCUUUACUCCCAACUCAGCCAAGGACAAAGGACACACAGGGGCCAGAGGAAAUGCUUCAAGAACACUCUCAAGACAAACAUUAAGAAAUGUGGCAUUGACACCACAAAUUGGGGAAAACUAGCCCAAGACAGAGCUACUUGGUGACACCUCGUGAGAAAAGGUACAUUUUCAAGGAAAACUGUUUUGCCCUGGAGGCAGAAAAAUGACAGAAACAGAAGGAAAGGAAACAAGACUGAGAAAUCCAUGGUUCAGCCCUCCCUUUAACCACCACCUGUGUCAUCUGCCAGGGAGUCUGUGGCUCUAGGAUUGGCCUUCUUAGCCAUUGAUGGACCCACCUACAAACCUUUACUUGACCCAUGGGAGUGAUCAUCCUCGACAGUGAGGGAAUGCUGAUGACGAUAAAUUUGACAGUCUGAAAAGAGGGAAAAUUUAAAACCGCACUUGU